rnacentral:rRNA from 1 species
GAUGAACGCUGGCGGCGUGCCUAAUACAUGCAAGUCGAGCGAACAGAUGAGGAGCUUGCUCCUCUGACGUUAGCGGCGGACGGGUGAGUAACACGUGGAUAACCUACCUAUAAGACUGGGAUAACUUCGGGAAACCGGAGCUAAUACCGGAUAAUAUAUUGAACCGCAUGGUUCAAUAGUGAAAGACGGCUUUUCUGUCACUUAUAGAUGGAUCCGCGCCGCAUUAGCUAGUUGGUAAGGUAACGGCUUACCAAGGCAACGAUGCGUAGCCGACCUGAGAGGGUGAUCGGCCACACUGGAACUGAGACACGGUCCAGACUCCUACGGGAGGCAGCAGUAGGGAAUCUUCCGCAAAGGGCGAAAGCCUGACGGAGCAACGCCGCGUGAGUGAUGAAGGUCUUCGGAUCGUAAAACUCUGUUAUUAGGGAAGAACAAAUGUGUAAGUAACUAUGCACGUCUUGACGGUACCUAAUCAGAAAGCCACGGCUAACUACGUG